GCGACCAAGCAACAAACGUCAGUCGCGCUAUGCCACGCAUCAAGAGAUCACCGCCUGCAUAACUUGACGUUACGUUUCGGAACGUUCCAUUCGAAAUUCGAACGCAUUUGAAUGAAAAAGGCGCGAAAGUAGAAUGUGUCAUAGAUUUAUUUUUCUUUUUUGACGGCCAGUAAUGCUUUGUUUUUAAUUUGUGUUUCGGUUGACAUCGUUUGUUUUAAUGCCAGAAAAUGAUAUUGACCAAGGGAUUUGAUGUUUUUGUUGCCAUUUUCGUAAUUGUUUUAUCAAGAGUGUGCACUGCUUGUUUUAUCGGAAACGAAUAUGAAAAGUUCACAGGAACGACGGGCUCCACUUACGUCAAAAACUGCGAAUGCAAAGAAGUCGGGUACUCGGUAAAGCAUUUAAUAUGGCUGGAUCCGGACGGCAACGCAAUCAAUGGACCAGAUUUGAGCAAUCCGAACAUAUACACGGAGAUCCAAGAUCACAACGGCACGGGUAUACUGAGCCUCGUGGUGAGGAGCAUCAGCAAAUCCAUGGCGGGAAACUAUACGUGCCAGACAAACUUCGAGGGAAAUACGUAUAGCCAGACUUAUAAUAUUGAAGCAUAUGAUAGUCCGUACUUUGUGAACACGACUGAGGAUCAGAAUAUUAUCAUCGGAGAAGACUCGAUAGUUAGAUGCGAAGUGCGAGGAAUCGCAGACUACGAGAUAGUUUGGUACCGAAUCACAGAUCGAGCGGAUGUGCCUUUGGUCAACGACAUGAAGUACAAGAUAUUGCCUGAGCAUGGCCUACUCAUCAGAAAUGUCAAUAAAGAGGACGCUGGGUUCUACAACUGCACAGUCAAUAACAUUGUCAUAGGGGAUUCAUUACCAAUACGUAUCAAUGUACAGGCAGCGGCAAGACCAGUGAUAUUUGAACCGAAAUUUAACAUUCCUCCGGAGGCCAUAGUUGUCGGCAACUCAGUGGUUGUGGAGUGCCUUGCGGAAGCCAUACCGUACCCCGAAUAUACCUGGACAAAGAUUACUGAUGAGUUCGGAAAUCCUAUAGAAAAAGCAAACUCGACGUGGAGACCAAUGGUUAAUACAAUAAAAUUCGAUAGCAUUAAAAAAGAAGAUGCAGGGACAUAUGUAUGCACCGCAACCAACACUGUGGAUAGUGCAGCUAUAAACGUACCCAUUAGUGUCAAGGUUCCGCCAGUAAUAACGUUCCUGGAGAACGUCACCGUGGUGGAAGGCAACGCGGCACAGAUCGCCUGCAAGGCUACCGGAGUGCCGGCCCCUGAACUCAUUAUAGAGACCAGUCUGGACGGAUUGGAGACGGAUCAAAGGGUAUCAACAGCCAUCAUGCACCCAUCACCGGACACGUCGGAGCUAUACUUGACAAUUAUGAACGUCUCCAGACCAUGCGAGGGCAUCUUCAGAUGCAGCGCAGCUAAUGCAGUCAACAACGUUACGCAGGAAAUGUACUUGACCGUCCUGUACGCGCCAUAUUUCCCCGUUCAAAACGAGACCAUUUGGGGCUGGCACAACCACACGGUCAACAUGAGCUGCGCCCACGCAAGCAACCCGCCGUCCGCAAUAGUAUGGAAGUUCCUUGGAAGUGAAAGUCGUGAAACAACUACAGCAGAACAUGAUCAGGUCAAUAAAAUACUUCAAGAACUAAAUGAUGGCAGUACAGAGCAAUACUUAGCCCUGCAAAUCGACGCUAAUAAGUAUGGAGAAUACGAGUGCACAGCUGUCAAUCCUUAUGGAAAUACUACGAAGAGAAUAUACUUGAGAGAAGCGUUUAAACCGACGGCUAUCAAAAAUAGAACAAUCAUAAGCAUGACAGCAACAUCCGUAACAUUCCAAAUCCAAGGCCCGGACGCCGCAGACAACGCCCCCGUACGCGGCUACGUCGCAGAGUACGACAUUGUGGAGAACUUUGCCAUCACCAGCCACCAUAACAUAAGCUAUUGCGGCGUGGAAAGGAACUUCACAAUAGACCGGCUGAAGCCCAACAGGACGUAUUCGAUUAAGUUCGCAGCACAAAAUGCGGUUGGUGACGGCGAGUGGUCGGAGCCUUUUGAAUUCGUGACCCCUGAAUCGUCCGCUCCUGAACCGCCCACAGAGGUGUGGGGCAAUCAAGGCAAGCUCAGGUGGAAGGCGCCCGAGCCAAACGGCGAGCCCAUCGACCAUUACAGCGUCGAGUUCUGCCCGUUUGUCGGCGAAAUUGUCAACCACACGCUCUGCCAAAAAGACAACGUGUCAGAAACCGCGUUCCCACUUGAGAAGUUAGAGAGGAACGCUAAAUACAAGUUCGGGAUAAGUGCACACAACUCUCAGGGCUACUCGGAUUACACAUAUAAGGAGAUAAAGACGCCAGCAAAAAUAUUCGGCGAAGGCCUACUGUCCGCGGGCGCUGUCAUCGGCAUAUCGGUGGUGGCCGUGUUCCUCUGCCUUCUAGUGCUGGACCUGCUCCUACUGUGCUGGAGGAAGCAGGGCAUCAUCGCGAGCUGCUACUUUAGGAAGAACAAGAAGAAAACUGACAACCUUAAUUCCCGGUAUGUUUGAUAUUUAGGACCUUGCUCAUAUAGGAUCUGCUAUUGCUAUGCUUAGAAAGAACAAAUAGAAAUUGAUAAUACGAGUAUGAAUUCCCGGUAAGUGCUGUAUAUUGGUGGUGGCGUUCCUCUGCCUUCUAGUGCUGGACCUGCUCCUACUGUGCUGGAGGAAGCAGGGCAUCAUCGCGAGCUGCUACUUUAGGAAGAACAAGAAGAAAACUGACAACCUUAAUUCCCGGGACAAGAAAGGGCUGCUAGUGACCGAAGGCGAACGAGCCGAUGACCGGCCCAACAACGGCGGCCACAGAGAACUGGUGUACAACAAGACCACGGGCGUCAUCACGGGGAAGCACUCCUCCGUGUAGCUUUAAUAGACCACCGAUAUCGUGCACGAAUGAUUUUGUACAUUAAUCUUUAAUAGCUCCUCUACAAGAUGGGCCAGCGCCGGCCACUCCAAGGGACGCAGCCAUGCGGUAGAAUGAGAUAGCUAUAUCACUUGCUCCCUCUAACGCAUAAAUGCGUCCCUUGGCACCCGGCGCUGGCCUGGCCCAUCGUGUAGAGGAGCCAUAAUACAAGCGACCACAGGUAACUGGUGUGACAAUGAGACCACAGAAGUCAUCACGGGGAAGCACUCCUCCGUGUAGCUUUAAUAGACCACCGAUAACGUGCACGAAUGAUUCCGUAAAUUGACCUUUAAGGAUGACUCACGCUAGACCGGGUCGUGCCCGGCCAGAGGCGUCCGACAUGUCAUUUUCUAUGACGGCUGAUCGGUGAUCACGUGGUGCUUUCUAUAGAAAAUGAAGCUUCGGAAGUUCCGGGGGUUAUUUGCGGACGGUCUAGAACGCAAAAUGACUAGUGUAGUAGACCGUUCGCGAUGUAGACUAAAAGCGAUAUAGGCAAAAUAUUACACUAGUCAUUUUGCGUUCUAGACCGUCCGCGACUAUGCCAUGGCCCAGUCUAACGUGAGUCAUCCUCCAUGGGUUAUCACGGGAAAACACUCGUCAGUUCAGCUUUAAUAAACCACCGAUAUCGUGCACGAAUAAUUUCGUACGUUGACCUCUACUACAGCUACAGCUGAAUGGUGUUACAGGAUUUAAAUACUACAGGCCCCGUAGACAACAUGCCAAUCGCUAACGCUACGUAGCGAACGAAACGCAACUGUCACUGUCACACUAAUAUGGAAGAGUGAUAGAGAAACACAAAGCGUUUCGAUGGCGAAGCGCAAGCGAUCGUCAUCUUGGCUAGGCCGCCUGGAGUCAUCAUGGGGAAGCAUUCCCUCAGUGUAGCUUUAAUAAACCACCAACCUCGUACAGACUUAUAACUAUGUCGAUAUUUUGUGUGGAACACCUGAUUUAACGAUUUCGAGGUUUUUAUUACUAAGUAAUAAAUUGCUCUGUGUGAUAUUUUGUUACACAGUACCUCUUGUCACACAUAACAGAAUCAACCUGUACGCUUCUCUGUUACUGGGACAAUGCAAAAUUGUACCUAUUGCCGUCGCAUACUCUCGCCUUUUUGAUCGCGUGCGACAUUUAAAAAAUUUUUGCGAUAUACAGAGAUAGGUACGAGUAUGUAAUGACAUGACAGGUUAAAGUACGAAAUUCUUCAUGCACGGUGACCACACUUUAGCAGUUAAAUUGUAAAUGUACCAAAGUUAAAUAAAUAUUGUAUUUUUUUUCUUACACAUUUCAUACAACAAAGUGCCAAUACCUAUACAUUAUCAUACACAACCAUUAUUUAAGUUAAUUUGUGUUCUGAAGAAUCACAAAACAUGAUUGUAUGACACAUUUAAGAACAAAAAGAUAAAAAAUAAAUAAAACAA